AUGAACGCUGGCGGCGUGCUUAACACAUGCAAGUCGAACGAAGCACUUGAAACAGAUUCUUCGGAUGAAGUUUCCUGUGACUGAGUGGCGGACGGGUGAGUAACGCGUGGGUAACCUGCCUCAUACAGGGGGAUAACAGUUAGAAAUGGCUGCUAAUACCGCAUAAGCGCACGGCAUCGCAUGAUGCAGUGUGAAAAACUCCGGUGGUAUGAGAUGGACCCGCGUUGGAUUAGCUAGUUGGCAGGGUAACGGCCUACCAAGGCGACGAUCCAUAGCCGGCCUGAGAGGGUGGACGGCCACAUUGGGACUGAGACACGGCCCAGACUCCUACGGGAGGCAGCAGUGGGGAAUAUUGCACAAUGGGGGAAACCCUGAUGCAGCGACGCCGCGUGAGCGAAGAAGUAUUUCGGUAUGUAAAGCUCUAUCAGCAGGGAAGAAAAUGACGGUACCUGACUAAGAAGCCCCGGCUAACUACGUGCCAGCAGCCGCGGUAAUACGUAGGGGGCAAGCGUUAUCCGGAUUUACUGGGUGUAAAGGGAGCGUAGACGGAAUGGCAAGUCUGAUGUGAAAAGGCCGGGGCUCAACCCCGGGACUGCAUUGGAAACUGCCAAUCUAGAGUACCGGAGGGGUAAGUGGA
rnacentral:rRNA from 1 species